UUCGGAUGGAAUUCGAUUGACUGAGUGGCGGACGGGUGAGUAACGCGUGGAUAACCUGCCUCACACUGGGGGAUAACAGUUAGAAAUGACUGCUAAUACCGCAUAAGCGCACAGUACCGCAUGGUACAGUGUGAAAAACUCCGGUGGUGUGAGAUGGAUCCGCGUCUGAUUAGCCAGUUGGCGGGGUAACGGCCCACCAAAGCGACGAUCAGUAGCCGACCUGAGAGGGUGACCGGCCACAUUGGGACUGAGACACGGCCCAAACUCCUACGGGAGGCAGCAGUGGGGAAUAUUGCACAAUGGGCGAAAGCCUGAUGCAGCGACGCCGCGUGAGUGAAGAAGUAUUUCGGUAUGUAAAGCUCUAUCAGCAGGGAAGAAAAUGACGGUACCUGACUAAGAAGCCCCGGCUAACUACGUGCCAGCAGCCGCGGUAAUACGUAGGGGGCAAGCGUUAUCCGGAUUUACUGGGUGUAAAGGGAGCGUAGACGGCGAAGCAAGUCUGAAGUGAAAACCCAGGGCUCAACCCUGGGACUGCUUUGGAAACUGUUUUGCUAGAGUGUCGGAGAGGUAAGUGGAAUUCCUAGUGUAGCGGUGAAAUGCGUAGAUAUUAGGAGGAACACCAGUGGCGAAGGCGGCUU
rnacentral:rRNA from 1 species